rnacentral:rRNA from 1 species
AGGACGAACGCUGGCGGCGUGCUUAACACAUGCAAGUCGAGCGGAAAGGCCCUUCGGGGUACUCGAGCGGCGAACGGGUGAGUAACACGUGAGCAAUCUGCCCUUAGCUUCGGGAUAGCCCCGGGAAACCGGGAUUAAUACCGAAUAUGACUUCGGCCGACAUCGGCUGCGGUGGAAAGUUUUUCGGCUAGGGAUGAGCUCGCGGCCUAUCAGCUAGUUGGUGGGGUAAUGGCCUACCAAGGCGACGACGGGUAGCCGGCCUGAGAGGGCGACCGGCCACACUGGGACUGAGACACGGCCCAGACUCCUACGGGAGGCAGCAGUGGGGAAUAUUGCGCAAUGGGCGAAAGCCUGACGCAGCGACGCCGCGUGGGGGAUGAAUGCCUUCGGGUUGUAAACCCCUUUCAGCAGGGACGAAGCGAAGUGACGGUACCUGCAGAAGAAGCGCCGGCUAACUACGUGCCAGCAGCCGC